UACGUAGGUGGCAAGCGUUGUCCGGAUUUACUGGGCGUAAAGAGCGCGCAGGCGGUCGGUCAAGUCGAGCGUGAAAGCCCCCGGCUCAACUGGGGAGGGUCAUUCGAUACUGAUCGACUCGAAGGCAGGAGAGGGUAGUGGAAUUCCCGGUGUAGUGGUGAAAUGCGUAGAUAUCGGGAGGAACACCAGUGGCGAAGGCGACUUUCUGGGCUGUAACUGACACUGAGGCGCGAAAGCGUGGGGAGCAAACAGG
rnacentral:rRNA from 1 species